rnacentral:sRNA from 1 species
AAACCCAGGAAGGUGUGGCGUCCCCGCUCCGCAGCCAAGAUGGUGCUGGUGCUGCGCCAUCCUUUGUGUGCCCGGGAAGGGCGUUCCAGGAGCCGGGUCGGGGGCUCCUGACUCACAUUGGGCAGCAUGACGGUGAGCCGGCUGUCACUGCUGUGCCGGGACCUCUGGGCGCUGUGGCUGCUGCUGAAGGCCGGCGCAGAUGAAAUCAUGCACCAGGACAUCGUCCCGCUCUGUGCUGCCGACAUCCAGGACCAGCUAAAGAAGCGCUUUGCUUACCUGUCCGGUGGGCGGGGGCAGGACGGAAGCCCGGUCAUCACCUUCCCUGAUUAUCCGGCCUUCAGCGAGAUUCCGGACAAGGAGUUCCAGAAUGUCAUGACCUACCUCACCAGCAUCCCCAGGUACGUGUGCUCAGAGCCCGGCAGACAUUGUGGGU